GAUGAACGCUGGCGGCGUGCCUAAUACAUGCAAGUCGAGCGAACAGACGAGCAUCUUGCUCCUCUGACGUUAGCGGCGGACGGGUGAGUAACACGUGGCUAACCUACCUAUAAGACUGGGAUAACUUCGGGAACCCGGAGCUAAUACCGGAUAAUAUAUUGAACCGCAUGGUUCAAUAGUGAAAGACGGUCUUGCUGUCACUUAUAGAUGGAUCCGCGCCGCAUUAGCUAGUUGGUAAGGUAACGGCUUACCAAGGCAACGAUGCGUAGCCGACCUGAGAGGGUGAUCGGCGACACUGGAACUGAGACACGGUCCAGACUCCGACGGGAGGCAGCAGUAGGGAAUCUUCCGCAAUGGGCGAAAGCCUGACGGAGCAACGCCGAGUGAGUGAUGAAGGUCUUCGGAUCGGAAAACUCUGUUAUUAGGGAAGAACAAAUGUGUAAGUAACUAUGCACGUCUUGACGGUACCUAAUCAGAAAGCCACGGCUAACUACGUG
rnacentral:rRNA from 1 species